GACGAACGCUGGCGGCGUGCUUAACACAUGCAAGUCGAACGGUAAGGCCCUUCGGGGUACACGAGUGGCGAACGGGUGAGUAACACGUGGGUGAUCUGCCCUGCACUUCGGGAUAAGCCUGGGAAACUGGGUCUAAUACCGGAUAGGACCACUGCCUGCAUGGGUGGUGGUGGAAAGCUUUUGCGGUGUGGGAUGGGCCCGCGGCCUAUCAGCUUGUUGGUGGGGUGAUGGCCUACCAAGGCGACGACGGGGAGCCGGCCUGAGAGGGUGCCCGGCAAAACUGGGACUGAGAUACGGCCCAGACGCCUACGGGAAGCAGCAGUGGGGAAUAUUGCACAAUGGGCGCAAGCCUGAUGCAGCGACGCCGCGUGAGGGAUGACGGACUUCGGGUUGUAAACCUCUUUCAGCACCGACGAAGCGCAAGUGACGGUAGGUGCAGAAGAAGGACCGGCCAACUACGUGCCAGCCGCCGCCGUAA
rnacentral:rRNA from 1 species